rnacentral:tRNA from 14 species
GAUGUGACCUAGUUGGUAGAGCAACAGCCUGUGACUCGCUGUGUCGCGGGUUUGAUUCCUGCCUG